AUUGAACGCUGGCGGCAGGCCUAACACAUGCAAGUCGAGCGGAUGAAGGGAGCUUGCUCCUGGAUUCAGCGGCGGACGGGUGAGUAAUGCCUAGGAAUCUGCCUGGUAGUGGGGGAUAACGUCCGGAAACGGGCGCUAAUACCGCAUACGUCCUGAGGGAGAAAGUGGGGGAACUUCGGACCUCACGCUAUCAGAUGAGCCUAGGUCGGAUUAGCUAGUUGGUGGGGUAAAGGCCUACCAAGGCGACGAUCCGUAACUGGUCUGAGAGGAUGAUCAGUCACACUGGAACUGAGACACGGUCCAGACUCCCACGGGAGGCAGCAGUGGGGAAUAUUGGACAAUGGGCGAAAGCCUGAUCCAGCCAUGCCGCGUGUGUGAAGAAGGUCUUCGGAUUGUAAAGCACUUUAAGUUGGGAGGAAGGGCAGUAAGUUAAUACCUUGCUGUUUUGACGUUACCAACAGAAUAAGCACCGGCUAACUUCGUG
rnacentral:rRNA from 1 species